rnacentral:tmRNA from 1 species
GGGGUUGUACUGGUUUCGACAGGGGUUUUGAAGUCGGAGAAGCUAUCCGUAUGCAAUGCGUCAAAUGGCAAAAUUAAAAAUAAACGCUGAAGAUAAUUUAGCAAUCGCUGCCUAAGGGCAGCUGUCAGACCGAGUGCACCUGCACAUUCGGACUCUGGCAUCGUGAAUGCAGGAAACGACAUAUGUUAAGCUUUGCACAUAUGGGCGUAUCAUGAAGCUACCAAAGUUAUCAGGGUGUUAGUUCUCGGAUAGUGGAGGGAAAGUCAAAUAACUGACUAUGAUAGUAGAAGGACGAGGGAUAGGCUUUUGGACAUGGGUUCGAUUCCCAUCAGCUCCACUC